CACGUAGCUUAGUGGUUAGGGCAUUCAACUCAUGAUUGUAAGGGCAUGAGUUCAAUUCCCAUUGACGUGU
rnacentral:tRNA from 1 species